rnacentral:rRNA from 1 species
CAGUAGCCGCGGUAAUACGAAGGGGGCUAGCGUUGUUCGGAUUUACUGGGCGUAAAGCGCACGUAGGCGGAUCGAUCAGUCAGGGGUGAAAUCCCAGAGCUCAACUCUGGAACUGCCUUUGAUACUGUCGAUCUGGAGUAUGGAAGAGGUGAGUGGAAUUCCGAGUGUAGAGGUGAAAUUCGUAGAUAUUCGGAAGAACACCAGUGGCGAAGGCGGCUCACUGGACUGGUAUUGACGCUGAGGUGCGAAAGCGUGGGGAGCAAACAGGAUUAGAUACCCGUGUAGUCCCUGUCUCUUAUAA